rnacentral:rRNA from 1 species
UCUGGUGACAAUGGCAAGGAGGUCACACCUGUUCCCAUGCCGAACACAGAAGUUAAGCUCCUUAGCGCCGAUGGUAGUCGGACU